rnacentral:rRNA from 1 species
GACGAACGCUGGCGGCGCGCUUAACACAUGCAAGUCGAACGGAAAGGCCUGCUUUCCCUUGUGGAUUGCGGGUACUCGAGUGGCGAACGGGUGAGUAACACGUGAGUGAUCUGCCCCCAACUUGGGUAUAAGCCUGGGAAACUGGGUCUAAUUCCCGAUAGGACUGCAGGGUGGUGCCUGUGGUGGAAAACGAUUUUCUAGUGGUUGGGGAUGAGCUCGCGGCCUAUCAGCUUGUUGGUGGGGUAAUGGCCUACCAAGGCGGCGACGGGUAGCCGGCCUGAGAGGGUGGACGGCCACAUUGGGAAUGAGAUACGGCCCAGACUCCUACGGGAGGCAGCAGUGGGGAAUAUUGCACAAUGGGCGGAAGCCUGAUGCAGCGACGCCGCGUGGGGGAUGACGGCCUUCGGGUUGUAAACUCCUUUCGACCGCGAGGAAGCCACCUGGUUGGAAGGGUGGUGACGGUAGUGGUAGAAGAAGCACCGGCUAACUACGUG